GACGAACGCUGGCGGCGUGCUUAACACAUGCAAGUCGAACGGAAAGGCCCUGCUUGCAGGGUGCUCGAGUGGCGAACGGGUGAGUAACACGUGGGUGAUCUGCCCCUUACUUUGGGAUAAGCCUGGGAAACUGGGUCUAAUACUGGAUAGGACCAUGCUGUAGGUGGUGUGGUGGAAAGAUUAGUUUCGGUAAGGGAUGAGCUCGCGGCCUAUCAGCUUGUUGGUGGGGUAAUGGCCUACCAAGGCGUCGACGGGUAGCCGGCCUGAGAGGGUGGACGGUCACAUUGGGACUGAGAUACGGCCCAGACUCCUACGGGAGGCAGCAGUGGGGAAUAUUGCACAAUGGGCGCAAGCCUGAUGCAGCGACGCCGCGUGGGGGAUGACGGCCUUCGGGUUGUAAACUCCUUUCAGCCAUGACGAAGCCCUUGUGGUGACGGUAGUGGUAGAAGAAGCACCGGCUAACUACGUG
rnacentral:rRNA from 1 species